CGGGGUGAGUAACGCGUGAGUAACCUGCCUUACACAGGGGAUAGCCGUUGGAAACGACGAAUAAUACCCUAUGACAUAAACUCUUCGCAUGAGGAGCUAUCAAAGAUUUAUCGGUGUAAGAUGGACUCGCGUCUGAUUAGCUAGUUGGUGAGGUAACGGCCCACCAAGGCGACGAUCAGUAGCCGGCUUGAGAGAGUGUACGGCCACAUUGGGACUGAGACACGGCCCAGACUCCUACGGGAGGCAGCAGCC
rnacentral:rRNA from 1 species